rnacentral:lncRNA from 1 species
AUGCGUGCGAUCGAGAGCAGGGCCAAAGGGAAGAGCCAAAAACCCUAACAACCAAAAAUCAUCAAAUUGAUAAGGAGAUCAAGGGAAAAAUCGAAUGCAUGAGUCUGGAUACUCUUUAAUCUAAGUGUAUUGAUCAUAAGGAUAGGAACCCCAAAUUGACAUGGACUCAAAUAUGGAAGGCUAACGGAUCAAGAGGAAAUGAGGAAGUUAUGCACAAACUUGGACGCACGAGGUUUAUGAAUGUCGGACUUUCGAAGUGUUGAUAUAGUAAUGAAAUGAUUGAGUGUUGGAAGAUAAUCGGGUUGAAGUAACUUAAGCGGUUAGAAUAUGCUAUGGACGUUUUAGUUUAUACAAUAUUUUAUGUUUGGUCGUCACCACCUACUAACAGGUAAACCCUCAAUUCAGGCGACUUGGAGAAUCGGAGCGAGCGCGUGUUCAUGUUAUGUCAUACCAAACGCUUCCGCUAGCUUGUUCAAAUGUUUUUAGUCCAAAAUUUGUUGUAUUGGUUCUUAGUAGUAUUUUGUCGAAUAAAUCGUAGAAUUGUAACUAGUUUGAUUAUGUUUAAAACAGGGGUAUGCUCGUUUUAUGAACGGGUCAUGCCCAAUUUUUGUUAAAUUAUAGUAUGAUAAUAUCACAUUUAGGAAGAUGAAAUUUUGGGCGUAACAAGUUGGUAUCAGAGCCUAGGUUGAGGGAUUCGAGC